AUUGAACGCUGGCGGCAGGCCUAACACAUGCAAGUCGAGCGAGCGGCGGACGGGUGAGUAAUGUAUGGGGACUGCCCGAUAGAGGGGGAUAACUACUGGAAACGGUGGCUAAUACCGCAUACUGUAGGAUAACCCAUAUGGGAUUAGUUAGUAGGUAAGGUAAUGGCUUACAUAGGCGACGAUCCCGAGCUGGUCUGAGAGGAUGAUCAGCCACACUGGGACUGAGACUCGGCCCAGACUCCUACGGAUGCAGCAGUGGGGAAUAUUGCACAAUGGGCGCAAGCCUGAUGCAGCCAUGCCGCGUGUAUGAAGAAGGCCCUAGGGUUGUAAAGUACUUUCAGUCGGGAGGCGUUACCGACAGAAGAAGCACCGGCUAACUCCGUGCCAGCGGCCGCGGUAAUAC
rnacentral:rRNA from 1 species